AGCAGUAAGAAGUGCCAAGCAAAAAGGGGAAAAUCCCCAUAUAAAACCAUCAGAUCUCCUGAGAACUCACUCAAUAUCACAAAAACAACAUGGAGGUAACAUACACCAUGAUUCAAUUACUUCCCACCAGGUCCCUCCCAUGACAUGUGGAGUUUAUGGGAACUACAAUUCAAGAUCAGGUUCAGGUGGGGACACAGCCAAACCAUAUCAUGAAGUGACUGACAUAUUAUUGAUAUGCUUUCCAAUCUUGUAUAUAUCAGUAAAUAUCUAGAGUCUUAUAGUAAAUUAAAUGUGUGAUCACUUGAUCACUUGCUCCAGAAUACUUUUUUCCCAGUUAUUGAAUUAUGUAUUCUGUUAUCCAAUUAUCAUAUAUAAAAAGAAGAAAAUAAACUUCAUCAUUUGACCCUAGGAGAAAGGAUGAGAUAGCACAUAAAACACCUUAAAUUUGUUUUUAAAAAUUUGAGUUUACAUAGCAAUCCCUGCUUUAUAUUUCCUUUGUACAAUCACUUUUUCAUAUUUUUCAUCCCAUUAUACUAGUUUUAAUCUAUAUUUCACUGCCCUAAGGAAUUUCCUUCUCUUUUUAUACUAGCUGUUUUCAUGUACACCAAUGAAAAUUUUGCACACUAAGGAAAAGUAAGAGGUGAAAACAUUCAGACACACUCUUGACUUCCUUAAUGGACAUUCACAAGAAGUGAAACAUUUCUUUCCUCAAUGUCUCUAAUAUAUGUUACAAAUUAGAUCAGGUAACAUUAAUGUGAUCACAAACUUCCAGCUGUUCAGAUUUACACAUUCGUGUUGCUUGUUUUACUAGCCCACAAGGGAAAUACCACCUUCUGGGACUAUUUCCCCCAAUCAGGAUAUUUAAGCUGGAAGCUUUGUCAGACUGCAUCAGUGUUCUGAGUAAGCAGGAAUGCAAACUGCAAUUUUAGCAUUAGCAUUCUACUUAGAACAAAGGGAGGCACCCGGAAGCAGUACACAGUAGUGCAGAGUUUUCUGGUUUCCCUUUAAAGAUUAGGGACAGCCAUUUGACUCUUGGGUUAGUUUGAACAAGUCUCCAGUCCUUGUCUCCAGAACUGAAGCCUUAUGUAGUUCUUCCUAUUUGAUGGAGACAGUAAUUUUUAAUCAUUUCUUCCCAAGAGGACCAGGUGCCUUGGGAGAACAAAAAGAAAGUGAGACACAUACUUUCUUUGCCUUCGGGAUCAAGAUCUGGUUGGGAAGAAAAGACAAACAUAUGAUUUGAAAACAAAUGGAGAGCGAAUGCUAAAUUUUGUGGAACCUAUACUCCAGUUCAGAAAAGUGGAACAGAAAGCAAGCUGGAAUAGCCAAGAAAGUCUGUAAAAUAAAGCCAAUUUUGAAAAACUA